rnacentral:misc_RNA from 1 species
GAUGAAGAACGUAGUGAAAUGCGAUAAGUAAUGUGAAUUGCAGAAUUCAGUGAAUCAUCGAAUCUUUGAACGCACAUUGCGCCCGCCAGUAUUCUGGCGGGCAUGCCUGUUCGAGCGUCAUUUCAACCACCAAGCCCCCGGCUUGUGUUGGGGACCUGCGGCUGCCGCAGGCCCUGAAAAGCAGUGGCGGGCUCGCUGUCACACCGAGCGUAGUAGCAUACAUCUCGCUCUGGGCGUGCUGCGGGUUCCGGCCGUUAAACCACCUUCAUAACCCAAGGUUGACCUCGGAUCAGGUAGGAAGACCCGCUGAACUUAAGCAUAUCAAUAAGCGGAGGA